UGGGGAAUAUUGGACAAUGGGGGAAACCCUGAUCCAGCCAUGCCGCGUGAAUGAUGAAGGCCUUAGGGUUGUAAAGUUCUUUUGUCAGGGAAGAUAAUGACGGUACCUGAAGAAUAAGCACCGGCUAACUUCGUGCCAGCAGCCGCGGUAAUACGAAGGGUGCUAGCGUUGUUCGGAAUCACUGGGCGUAAAGCGCGCGUAGGCGGUUAUUCAAGUCAGGGGUGAAAUCCUGAGGCUCAACCUCAGAAUUGCCUUUGAAACUGUAUGACUGGAGUGUCGGAGGGGAUAGCGGAAUUGCUAAUGUAGCGGUGAAAUGCGUAGAUAUUAGCAGGAACACCGGUGGCGAAGGCGGCUAUCUGGACGACAACUGACGCUGAGGCGCGAAAGCGUGGGUAUCAAA
rnacentral:rRNA from 1 species